rnacentral:rRNA from 1 species
CCUACGGGUGGCAGCAGUGAGGAAUAUUGGUCAAUGGCCGUAAGGCUGAACCAGCCAAGUCGCGUGUAGGAAGAAGGAUCUAUGGUUUGUAAACUUCUUUUGUAGGGGAAUAAAGGUAUCCACGUGUGUAUAUUUUCAUGUACCCUAUGAAUAAGCAUCGGCUCACCCCGUUCCAGCCGCCGCGGUAAUACGGAGGAUGCGAUGGUUAGCGGGAUUUAUGUGGGUUAAAGGGUGCGUAGGCGGACUGUUAAUUCAGCGGUAAAAGCCCGGGGAUCAACCCCGGCGAGCAGUUGAAACUGGCUGUCUUGAGAUGUCGAGAGGUAUGCGGAAUGCGCAGUGUAGCGGUGAAAUGCUUAGAUAUUGCGCAGAACUCCGAUUGCGAAGGCAGCAUACCGGCGGCGAUCUGACGCUGAGGCACGAAAGCGUGGGUAUCGAACAGGAUUAGAUACCCGUGUAGUC